rnacentral:rRNA from 1 species
GACGAACGCUGGCGGCGUGCUUAACACAUGCAAGUCGAACGGAGUGGCGAACGGGUGAGUAACACGUGGGUGAUCUGCCUUGCACUUCGGGAUAAGCUUGGGAACCUGGGUCUAAUACCGGAUAGUGCAAGAUGAGCUCGCGGCCUAUCAGCUUGUUGGUGGGGUAAUGGCCUACCAAGGCGUCGACGGGUAGCCGGCCUGAGAGGGUGUACGGCCACAUUGGGACUGCGGGACGGACCAGACUGCAACGGGGGGCAGCAGUGGGGAAUAUUGCACAAUGGGGGGACGCCUGAGGCAGCGACCCCGGGUGGGGGAUGAAGGCCUUCGGGUUGUAAACUCCUUUCGACAGGGACGCGGUACCUGUAUAAGAAGCACCGGCUAACUACGUGCCAGCAGCCGCGGUAAUAC